rnacentral:rRNA from 1 species
UUCUAUUUAAAAUAAAACAUAUAAUUUUUUAAUUUAGCUWCCUAAAAAAUAAAGUUAGUCAUAUAACCCUAUUUUUAUUUAAAGCUAUUUAUUUUAGAAAAAAUUGUAAUACACCAGGGGUAGACGCCUGCUAUUCUUUUAUAAAAUUAAUUUUAGGAGUAAAAGAGAUUUCUCUAAAUUAAAAUAAAAUGGCGGUAUUUCUAUCCCGGGCGGGGGAGCUUGAUUAUAACGGAUAGUCCCCCUUUUAUCUCUCUAAUUUUUAUUUUUUGUGUGGUUGUUGUAAAAAAAAGCUUUAUUGCUAAUUUUAUUUCAGAUAACAUGAAGAAAUAAAUUAGGUUAAUUUAGCUACAAUAAUUAUAUUAAUUAACACAAUCCCUAAAAAAUAUAAAUAGGACUCGCUAGUAAAAAUUUUAAUUAAAAAGUCAUUUGAAAAGGUUUUAGUUUAUGUACAUAUCGUCCGUCACUCUCAUAAAC